UCACACUUGGAGAGUACUUUGUCUUUUGAUCAUUGUGGUGUUUGUGUUGUGUAUUCUUUUCUUCUUCUUUUAAUUUUUUUCAGCUCUUCUUAUCCCUUAUCUUAUGCACUUCCAUAAUCCAAAGUAGUAUCUGUCUUUCUAGCUAGCCAUUGAAAACAUUCCAAAACCAACCUCUCAUCAGAUUUGAGAUUAAAAUCAAUGGUUAUUGGAGUUAGAUUGGAGAUGGUUUGAAGAGGGGAAAGUAGGAGGAGGUGAGCAUUUACAAGCUUUGAUAGUUGGUGAAACAGGACCUACAGUUCAAGAACCCUCUCUCAUCAAGGUCCCCCACAGCCAUUAAUUGAAGCUCAAAAACAACUGAAGCACAAGAUGGAUUUGGAGUUUAUCUCUGAAGUUCUAUAUAUCUAGGAUGUACAUACUGUAGCAACUUGGCAUCUAAGAUUCACAUGAAUGGAAUUUAUGGAAAGAAAAAAGCUAAGGACAAAAGCAAAUUAAAUUAUCCCAUACCUUUAGAAUUUUUCAAACUCUGUGUGUGUUGGAAUUUAUGCAAAGAGUGGUGAAAAUAUGAGGUGGAGAUGCUCCAAUAUGAUACUAUGAUACAAUAAUGGAUAAGGUAGAUAUGUAUAAUUAUGAAAGCUGGUUGGCUAUAGUUACUCCUAGAAUUCUAACUUCUACUAACUCACUUCACAUAUGGCGGCUAGUUACUAUGUAUUUUAAUUAUUUAGAUUUUUUCUACAUUUGUGGCUUUCAUAUCUAAGAGACUUCUAGAUAGUAUCUCUUAUUAUAAGGUAAAUCCAAUUAUUGUCUUUGAUUGUUUUAGGAAAAUGGGCAUCACUAAUUCAUCAGAGACAUAGUACUUAUUAUUAUUGGAGGAUCAGUUCAUAAUCUGAGUCUUUGGAUUGACAAAAAUCUUUUCAGUAAUGCAGUAGACAAUAAUUCAUUCAAUCUUUAGUGUUACAUAUGUGAGAUUGCUAGAGUUAAUACCCAGAAUAUCAUCAGCUCAUCAAGGAUUAGUAGCUCACCUACACAUAAAAUGUGAGCACCUAAUCUAUCUUAAAUUUUGGGAUUGGCAAAUUUUCAAGAUUUGGUGCAGAAUAUGUAGAAAGGAUUCAAAACUCAAAAGAUAUACCCUGAAGAAAGGUGGAUUUGAAUAUAAUUAAUACUAGGAUAACUGUUUGAUUAAGUUUGCAGUUUCAUGAGUGGAAAAAACAGUGAUCUAAUGAUUAGUGGUAUAGUUAUCUUGGUUAUUGAGUUGUUUUUGCUGAAUUGUACGAUUUUGAAACUGAAAAAGCAUUGAUUUGGAAUGUGAAAAUAUCAUUCUGUAAUUGCCAUGAUGCAAGGAUGAUUUAUUUUGUACUUGUCCCAAUAAUGCUCUCAAUGGCUACUGAUCAAGGUUGAUUUUAGCAUAAAAGAAAUAUUUUAUGUACUCAUAUUUGUCUU